GAUGAACGCUGGCGGUGUGCCUUAGGCAUGCAAGUCGAACGAGAGUCACUCUUCGGAGUGAGGACAGUGGCAGACGGGUGAGUAACACGUAGGAAUCUACCCUUUAGUGGGGAAUAGCCCGCCGAAAGGCGGGGUAAUACCGCAUAUGGUCGCAAGAUCAAAGUCUUCGGACGCUAGAGGAGGAGCCUGCGCGCUAUCAGCUAGUUGGUGGGGUAAUGGCCUACCAAGGCAACGACGGCUAGCCGGUGUGAGAGCACGACCGGCCACAAGGCUACUGAGACACGGAGCCUACACCUACGGGUGGCAGCAACCGGGAAUAUUGCGCAAUGGACGAAAGUCUGACGCAGCGACACCGCGUGCGGGAUGAAGCUUUUCGGAGUGUAAACCGCUGUGGCGAGGGAGGAAUUUUGACAGUACCUCGCUAGAAAGCACCAGCUAACUACGUGCCAGAAGCUUCGGUAAUACGUAGGGUGCAAGCGUUAUCCGGAUUUACUGGGCGUAAAGGGUCCGUCGGCGUCUUUGUAAGUUUCUUGUCUAAGCCCAGGGCUCAACUCUGGAAAGGCAAGGAAUACUGCAAAGAUAGAGUCCGUUCGAGGAAGUUAGAAUUCUCGGUGGAGGGGUGAAAUCCGUAGAUAUCGAGAGGAAUACCAAGCGCGAAGGCAGACUUCUAGGACGUGACUGACGCUCAGGGACGAAAGCUUGGGUAGCAAAGCGGAUUAGAGACCCGUGUAGUCCAAGCCGUAAACACUCCUUGCUAGUUGCCCUGACUUUAAGUUGGGGUGGCGUAAGCUAACGCGUUAAGCAAGGCGCCUGGGGAGUACGAUCGCAAGAUUAAAACUCAAAGGAAUUGACGGGGGAGCGCACAACCGGUGGAGCAUGUGGUUUAAUUCGAUACAAAGCGAAAAACCUUACCCGGAUUUGACAUGUACCUGCACGGUCUAGGAAACUAGACUUUCUUCGAGAGUGGUACACAGGUGAUGCAUGGCUGUCGUCAGCUCGUGUCGUGAGACGUCCGCUUAAGUGCGGUAACGAGCGCAACCCUUGUCCUGUGUUAUACGUGUCACAGGAGACUGCUCCUGCUAUGCAGGGGAGGAAGGAGAGGACGACGUCAAGUCAGCAUGUCCCUUACAUCCGGGGCUACACACAUCCUACAAUGGGAUCGACAGCGGGUAGCGACGGGGUAACCCAGAGCCAAUCCUCUAAACGAUCUCUCAGUUCGGAUUGAGGGCUGCAAUUCGCCCUCAUGAAGCCGGAAUCGGUAGUAAUCGCAAAUCAGCAGGUUGCGGUGAAUACGUUCUCGCUCCUUGUACACACUGCCCGUCAAGCCAGCAAAGUCAGCAGCGCCCGAAGCGGGUGACCGUAACCAGUUUACUGGGGCGGCCCUUCUACGGCGAGGUUGGCGAUGAGGACU
rnacentral:rRNA from 1 species